rnacentral:rRNA from 1 species
UGACCUCGGAUCAGGUAGGGAUACCCGCUGAACUUAAGCAUAUCAAUAAGCGGAGGAAAAGAAACCAACAGGGAUUGCCUCAGUAACGGCGAGUGAAGCGGCAAGAGCUCAAAUUUGAAAGCUGGCCCCUUCGGGGUCCGCGUUGUAAUUUGCAGAGGAUGCUUCGGGUGCAGCCCCCGUCUAAGUGCCCUGGAACGGGCCGUCAUAGAGGGUGAGAAUCCCGUCUGGGACGGGGUGUCUGCGUCCGUGUGAAGCUCCUUCGACGAGUCGAGUUGUUUGGGAAUGCAGCUCUAAAUGGGUGGUAAAUUUCAUCUAAAGCUAAAUACUGGCCGGAGACCGAUAGCGCACAAGUAGAGUGAUCGAAAGAUGAAAAGCACUUUGAAAAGAGAGUUAAACAGCACGUGAAAUUGUUGAAAGGGAAGCGUUUGCGACCAGACUCGCCCGCGGGGUUCAGCCGGCAUUCGUGCCGGUGUACUUCCCCGUGGGCGGGCCAGCGUCGGUUUGGGCGGCCGGUCAAAGGCCCUCGGAAUGUAUCACCUCUCGGGGUGUCUUAUAGCCGAGGGUGCAAUGCGGCCUGCCUGGACCGAGGAACGCGCUUCGGCUCGGACGCUGGCGUAAUGGUCGUAAAUGAC